GGACUCCAUGAAGGAUGAGGAGGAUGGCUCCCAUUUUACAGAAGAGGAAGGCACGCACGUGCCAAGUACUCGCAGCCCGGACCUCAGGAGAGACGAGGUGACCGUUCUGGGAGACCCACGAAAGAAUCUCACCAUAAACGUCAAGCCCGGA